UACGAAGGGGGCUAGCGUUGCUCGGAAUCACUGGGCGUAAAGGGUGCGUAGGCGGGUCUUUAAGUCAGGGGUGAAAUCCUGGAGCUCAACUCCAGAACUGCCUUUGAUACUGAGGAUCUUGAGUCCGGGAGAGGUGAGUGGAACUGCGAGUGUAGAGGUGAAAUUCGUAGAUAUUCGCAAGAACACCAGUGGCGAAGGCGGCUCACUGGCCCGGUACUGACGCUGAGACGCGAAAGCGUGGGGAGCAAACAGG
rnacentral:rRNA from 1 species